rnacentral:rRNA from 1 species
CCAGCAGCCGCGGUAAUUCCAGCUCCAAUAGCGUAUAUUAAAGUUGUUGUGGUUAAAAAGCUCGUAGUUGAACCUUGGGCCUGGCUGGCCGGUCCGCCUCACCGCGUGUACUGGUCCGGCCGGGCCUUUCCCUCUGUGGAACCCCAUGCCCUUCACUGGGCGUGGCGGGGAAACAGGACUUUUACUUUGAAAAAAUUAGAGUGCUCCAGGCAGGCCUAUGCUCGAAUACAUUAGCAUGGAAUAAUGAAAUAGGACGCGCGGUUCUAUUUUGUUGGUUUCUAGGACCGCCGUAAUGAUUAAUAGGGACAGUCGGGGGCAUCAGUAUUCAAUGGUCAGAGGUGAAAUUCUUGGAUCCAUUGAAGACUAACUACUGCGAAAGCAUUUGUCAAGGAUGUUUUCAUUAAUCAGGAACGAAAGUUAGGGGAUCGAAGACGAUCAGAUACCGUCGUAGUCUUAACCAUAAACUAUGCCGACUAGGGAUCGGACGAUGUUAUUUUUUGACUCGUUCGGCACCUUACGAGAAAUCAAAGUGCUUGGGCUCCAGGGGGAGUAUGGUCGCAAGGCUGAAACUUAAAGGAAUUGG